CUUCCCGCUUUUCUCAGCGGUAGCUGGUUCUUGUUUGGGCCACCAGGACUCUCCCCUAGGCUUACUGUUUCUGCACUUAAGGAUAUUCAUUCUGCCCAGCUGCAGGGCUGGAGCUCUCUCAGCUACCGCGACUGGCUCCUAGAAUCCCUCCCCGUCAUUGUGGACUAGUGGCAUGAGCCGUCUAGUGAAGGUUGGUGAAGCCAGUGUUUCAUAACCACCUUCAUCCUGACCCUCUGUGGGUGUGCCGUGGGGCAGCUGCAAAACAACCAACAUGAAGGAGGAGGAGAAGAAAGGAUUCCCUCCCUUGAAGAUAUGACCUGGAAAUUACAUGCAUCAUGUCUGCUCAUAUCCCAUUGGCAAGAACUCUUCUGAUGACCACACAAGAGAUGCUGGUUUAGGCAGCAUGGAACAGUAUUACCAAGACGGGAUUUGGAGUCGCAGAGUUCUGGGUUCAAAUUCCAGCAGCACUGCUUCCUGGCUGUGUGA